rnacentral:snRNA from 1 species
GUGCUAGUUUUCGCAGCACAUGUAUUAAAAUUAGAACAAAACAGAUUAGUAUGGACCUAGUGCAAGGAUGACAUGAAAUUCAUGAAGAGUUCCAUAUUUUU